rnacentral:rRNA from 1 species
ACCAGACUCCUACGGGAGGCAGCAGUGGGGGAUAUUGCACAAUGGGGGGAACCCUGAUGCAGCGACGCCGCGUGGGUGAAGAAGCGCCUCGGCGCGUAAAGCCCUGUCAGCAGGGAAGAAAAUGACGGUACCUGAAGAAGAAGCCCCGGCUAACUACGUGCCAGCAGCCGCGGUAAUACGUAGGGGGCAAGCGUUAUCCGGAUUUACUGGGUGUAAAGGGGGCGCAGACGGCGAUGCAAGCCAGGAGUGAAAGCCCGGGGCCCAACCCCGGGACUGCUCUUGGAACUGCGUGGCUGGAGUGCAGGAGGGGCAGGCGGAAUUCCUGGUGUAGCGGUGAAAUGCGUAGAUAUCAGGAGGAACACCAGUGGCGAAGGCGGCCUGCUGGACGGUGACUGACGCUGAGGCUCGAAAGCGUGGGGAGCAAACAGGAUUAGAUACCCCGGUAU